rnacentral:rRNA from 1 species
GACGAACGCUGGCGGCGUGCCUAAUACAUGCAAGUCGAGCGAACAGACCAGGAGUUUGCUCCUCUGACGUUAGCGGCGGACGGGUGAGUAACACGUGGAUAACCUACCUAUAAGACUGGGAUAACUUCGGGAAACCGGAGCUAAUACCGGAUAAUAUAUUGAACCGCAUGGUUCAAUAGUGAAAGACGGUUUUGCUGUCACUUAUAGAUGGAUCCGCGCCGCAUUAGCUAGUUGGUAAGGUAACGGCUUACCAAGGCAACGAUGCGUAGCCGACCUGAGAGGGUGAUCGGCCACACUGGAGCUGAGACACGGUCCAGACUCCUACGGGAGGCAGCAGUAGGGAAUCUUCCGCAAUGGGCGAAAGCCUGACGGAGCAACGCCGCGUGAGUGAUGACGGUCUUCGGAUCGUAAAACUCUGUUAUUAGGGAAGAACAAAUGUGUAAGUAACUGUGCACGUCUUGACGGUACCUAGUCAGAAAGCCACGGCUAACUACGUG